rnacentral:rRNA from 1 species
CCCGCUCAGAAACUCAAAUGAAGUUGACGGGGCCCGCACAAGCGGUGGAGUAUGUGGUUUAAUUCGAUGCAACGCGAAGAACCUUACCUGGUCUUGACAUCCCGGAGACCCUUAGGAAACUAGGGGGUGCUUCCAUCUGGAAGAAUCUGGAGACAGGUGCUGCAUGGCUGUCGUCAGCUCGUGUCGUGAGAUGUUGGGUUAAGUCCCGCAACGAGCGCAACCCUUGCCUUUAGUUGCCAGCAGUUCGGCUGGGCACUCUAAAGGGACUGCCGGUGUUAAACCGGAGGAAGGUGGGGAUGACGUCAAGUCCUCAUGGCCUUUAUGACCAGGGCUACACACGUACUACAAUGGCCGAUACAAAGGGCAGCGACACUGCGAGGUGAAGCCAAUCCCGUAAAAUCGGUCUCAGUCCGGAUUGGAGUCUGCAACUCGACUCCAUGAAGUUGGAAUCGCUAGUAAUCGUGGAUCAGCAUGCCACGGUGAAUACGUUCCCGGGCCUU